CAGGCCUAACACAUGCAAGUCGAACGAAGGCUUCGGCCUUAGUGGCGCACGGGUGCGUAACGCGUGGGAAUCUGCCCUUGGGUUCGGAAUAACAGUUAGAAAUGACUGCUAAUACCGGAUGAUGACGUAAGUCCAAAGAUUUAUCGCCCAGGGAUGAGCCCGCGUAGGAUUAGCUAGUUGGUGGGGUAAAGGCCUACCAAGGCGACGAUCCUUAGCUGGUAUGAGAGGAUGAUCAGCCACACUGGAACUGAGACACGGUCCAGACUCCUACGGGAGGCAGCAGUGGGGAAUAUUGCACAAUGGGCGCAAGCCUGAUGCAGCCAUGCCGCGUGUAUGAAGAAGGCCUUCGGGUUGUAAAGGACUUUCAGCNGGGGAGGAAGGUGUUGAGGUUAAUAACCUCAGCAAUUGACGUGACCCGCAGAAGAAGCACCGGCUAACUCCGUGCCAGCAGCCGCG
rnacentral:rRNA from 1 species